CUCCGGGCAAGAGCGCCCUUCCGGUCCCUCCAGCGCGAGGGGGGGAAGCAGAAGAAGGCGUUUCCGCUCAGGCGCACAUCCGGGUUCCUUUGUCCCCGGGGUCGCAGCCGGGCGCCCUCCCCGCCGCCUCAGGGAGGAGAGAAGCAGCGUGUUUUUACUGGCAUUGUCACCAGUCUCCAUGAUUAUUUUGGCGUGGUGGAUGAUGAAAUUUUUUUCCAGUUAAGACAAAGAUGUAUAGGAAGAGCUCAGACCCAUUGCAAGUACAGGUAGUCCUCGACU